UUGCUUCACAGAACGCAGACUCUUCUUCGCAGAGAUCACGUUGGGGAGGGAAUCGAUAAAGUCAGAGCCCUGGGACUAAUCAGCAUGCUGCACAUGACGACUGCUAUCCAAGACUGCUGUUCCUUAGCAUCACUGAAGUAAAAUUGGAAAUGGUGAUCUUUCCCAUGAGGAAAGGAAAGAGCCACAUGCCCGUUAGUGCCAGUACUGAGGAAUCGGGCCUGAUAUCACAGGAACUGUUUGCAGAGGCUGUGUGAGUUUCCAAAUUGGUGCUUCAUUCGGGGGAGUAAUGCAUCAUCUGGGCACUGCACUUUGAAGAACAUCACCGGCUCAGCUCUGGGCUAUUUCCGUGGUGAAAUCAUGAAUCCACUCCGACUGAAGUCCAGCCCUGCAUCACUUUCAUCAGGCUGGGGUUUUAUACCAGGUACCCUCAUCUGUGGGAAUUUGGAUGGGUUCAUGGUACUUCAUGUGUAUUCUGACGGCCUUUCAAGCAAUUGCUGACCACACAGCAGCCUCUUUUUGCUGAACUGGUGCAGGGCAGCUUGUAGCACGGGCAGCCAGAUGGACAUGCUGCAGUUUCCAUGCUGAUAUUCUGAUUUUUUCUUUUUCCAUUCCGUAUUUAGUCUUGGAAGCACGGUAGAGCCUUUAUGAGUAAAACUAAACGGCUGAAGCAGAAAGGAAAUGUUGGAAGCUUACAACACAGAAAAUCAAAAGUUGCUGGUUGAUGAGUUUUUUGUACUCUGCGCUGGGUCUUUACAUGCCAUGUUCUACUGCAAGGGUAAAAGUGAUGGAGCAGAGUGAGUAUCCAUCUCACAGAAGAAUCGACAAGCAGGAGUGUCAUUGUGAUACAAACAAACGGGAAGCCGUGACACGAGAAGAAAACUUCCUGCCUCCUCUCCUGGCUGUGUUUGAAGAAGGAACCCCAACGUGGCAAAAUGAAGCAAAUUUCUCCCACUGGAAGUGUAGAAGUCUCACCCCUGUGCUGUUUGGAGCUGGGACCAGCUGUACAACGUAA
rnacentral:lncRNA from 1 species